rnacentral:rRNA from 1 species
UACGGGGGGUGCGAGCGUUGUCCGGAAUCACUGGGCGUAAAGGGCUCGUAGGUGGCCAACUAAGUCAUACGUGAAAUCCCUCGGCUUAACCGGGGAACUGCGUCUGAUACUGGAUGGCUUGAGGUUGGGAGAGGGAUGCGGAAUUCCAGGUGUAGCGGUGAAAUGCGUAGAUAUCGGGAAGAACACCCGUGGCGAAGGCGGCUCUCUGGGACGGUACUGACGCUGAGACGCGAAAGCGUGGGGAGCGAACAGG